rnacentral:rRNA from 1 species
CCCUACGGGACGCAGCAGUGAGGAAUAUUGGUCAAUGGGCGCGAGCCUGAACCAGCCAAGUCGCGUGAGGGAAGACGGUCCUAUGGAUUGUAAACCUCUUUUGUCGGGGAGCAAAAGACGCCACGUGUGGCGUUCCGAGAGUACCCGAAGAAAAAGCAUCGGCUAACUCCGUGCCAGCAGCCGCGGUAAUACGGAGGAUGCGAGCGUUAUCCGGAUUUAUUGGGUUUAAAGGGUGCGUAGGCGGGCUGUUAAGUCAGCGGUCAAAUGUCGGGGCUCAACCCCGGCCUGCCGUUGAAACUGGCGGC